CAGGCUUAACACAUGCAAGUCGAGGGGCAGCAUGGUCUUAGCUUGCUAAGGCCGAUGGCGACCGGCGCACGGGUGAGUAACGCGUAUCCAACCUGCCUUACACUCUUGGACAGCCUUCUGAAAGGGAGAUUAAUACAAGAUGUUAUCAUGAGUAAGCAUUUUCGCAUGAUUAAAGGUUUACCGGUGUAAGAUGGGGAUGCGUUCCAUUAGAUAGUAGGCGGGGUAACGGCCCACCUAGUCUUCGAUGGAUAGGGGUUCUGAGAGGAAGGUCCCCCACAUUGGAACUGAGACACGGUCCAAACUCCUACGGGAGGCAGCAGUGAGGAAUAUUGGUCAAUGGACGAGAGUCUGAACCAGCCAAGUAGCGUGAGGGAUGAAGGUUCUAUGGAUUGUAAACUUCUUUUAUACGGGAAUAAACGAAUCCACGUGUGGAUUUUUGCAUGUACCGUAUGAAUAAGGAUCGGCUAACUCCGUGCCAGCAGCCGCGGUAAUACGGAGGAUCCGAGCGUUAUCCGGAUUUAUUGGGUUUAAAGGGAGCGUAGAUGGGUUGUUAAGUCAGUUGUGAAAGUUUGCGGCUCAACCGUAAAAUUGCAAUUGAUACUGGCAGUCUUGAGUACAGUUGAGGUAGGCGGAAUUCGUGGUGUAGCGGUGAAAUGCUUAGAUAUCACGAAGAACUCCGAUUGCGAAGGCAGCUUACUAACCUGUAACUGACAUUGAUGCUCGAAAGUGUGGGUAUCAAACAGGAUUAGAUACCCUGGUAGUCCACACGGUAAACGAUGAAUACUCGCUGUAGGCGAUAUACAGUCUGCGGCCAAGCGAAAGCAUUAAGUAUUCCACCUGGGGAGUACGCCGGCAACGGUGAAACUCAAAGGAAUUGACGGGGGCCCGCACAAGCGGAGGAACAUGUGGUUUAAUUCGAUGAUACGCGAGGAACCUUACCCGGGCUUAAAUUGCAACCGAAUAUGGCGGAAACGCUAUAGCUAGCAAUAGCGGUUGUGAAGGUGCUGCAUGGUUGUCGUCAGCUCGUGCCGUGAGGUGUCGGCUUAAGUGCCAUAACGAGCGCAACCCUUGCCGAUAGUUACUAACAGGUCAUGCUGAGGACUCUGUCGGGACUGCCAUCGUAAGAUGUGAGGAAGGUGGGGAUGACGUCAAAUCAGCACGGCCCUUACGUCCGGGGCUACACACGUGUUACAAUGGGGGGUACAGAGGGCUGCUACCACGCAAGUGGAUGCCAAUCCCAAAAACCUCUCUCAGUUCGGAUUGAAGUCUGCAACCCGACUUCAUGAAGCUGGAUUCGCUAGUAAUCGCGCAUCAGCCACGGCGCGGUGAAUACGUUCCCGGGCCUUGUACACACCGCCCGUCAAGCCAUGGGAGCCGGGGGUACCUGAAGUGCGUAACCGCAAGGAGCGCCCUAGGGUAAAACUGGUGACUGGGGC
rnacentral:rRNA from 1 species